rnacentral:tRNA from 1 species
CCCAGGUAAACAGCAGGUAAACACUUUUAUAGAAUUAUAAGACAUUGUUUUUAUUACGUUUAUGUACAUAAACACUUAGAGACCAUCUGACUGUUAAUCAGCGGGUCGCUGGUUCGAGCCCAGCAGGCGGAGCCA